rnacentral:rRNA from 1 species
UUUAAAUUGAGAGUUUGAUCCUGGCUCAGGAUGAACGCUGGUGGCGUGCCUAAUACAUGCAAGUCGUACGCUAGCCGCUGAAUUGAUCCUUCGGGUGAAGUGAGGCAAUGACUAGAGUGGCGAACUGGUGAGUAACACGUAAGAAACCUGCCCUUUAGUGGGGGAUAACAUUUGGAAACAGAUGCUAAUACCGCGUAACAACAAAUCACACAUGUGAUCUGUUUGAAAGGUCCUUUUGGAUCGCUAGAGGAUGGUCUUGCGGCGUAUUAGCUUGUUGGUAGGGUAGAAGCCUACCAAGGCAAUGAUGCGUAGC